rnacentral:miRNA from 1 species
GGUUGUUACAACAAGUCCGAUAUGCAGUCAUGAUAUAACAAUAUUGUUACAACCUUGUGUCGUCAACCUUGUAACGUUCUUGUUAUAUCAUGAUUGUAUCAGACUUGUUGGAAUAACC